UACGUAGGGGGCGAGCGUUGUCCGGAAUUAUUGGGCGUAAAGGGCUCGUAGGCGGUUUGUCGCGUCGGGAGUGAAAACCUUGGGCUUAACUCAGGGCUUGCUUUCGAUACGGGCAGACUAGAGGUAUGCAGGGGAGAACGGAAUUCCUGGUGUAGCGGUGAAAUGCGCAGAUAUCAGGAGGAACACCAACGGCGAAGGCAGCUCGCUGGGACGGUACUGACGCUGAGACGCGAAAGCAUGGGGAGCGAACAGG
rnacentral:rRNA from 1 species